GGGAGGAUAAUGACGUUACCUUACGAUUAGUGUCGUCUAAAGCUGGUGCCAGAAGACUCGGUAAGACCAGAGACACAAACGUUAGUCGUCUUAAAUGGGCAUAAAGGGUUUGUAGGCGGCUUGUAAAGCUGAAAUCUUUAGAAACUAAGGGGAAUACUCGAAGCGAAGGCUCUCUUCCAGGUAAUGAUUGACGCUGAGACACGAAGGUGAGGAUAGGAAAUAGGAUUAGAUACCCUCGUACCCCUCACUGUCAACGAUGAAUGGUAGGUGUUAGUUUUUUAGUGCCGAUGUGAAAUACGUUAACCAUUCCGCCUUGUUAGUAUACUUGCAAAGGUGAAAAACAAAAAAAUUAGUCGG
rnacentral:rRNA from 1 species